UCUUUAUGUUGAUUUUAUUAAUUUUUAUUAGGUUUAAUUUUAAAAUUAUUAAUUAAAUAUUUUGUUGGGGUAAUAUAAAGAUUAAAUUAAUUCUUUUUAAAUUUUUACAAUGAAUUUUGUUUUUUUGAUCCAUUAAUAUUGAUUAUAUGAUUAAGU
rnacentral:rRNA from 1 species